GCAAGUCGAACGAAGUAGCAAUACUUAGUGGCAGACGGGUGAGUAACAUGUAGGUAUCUGCCCUUUGGCCUGGAAUAACACGAGGAAACUUGUGCUAAUACCGGAUAAGUCUUUACGGAGAAAGCUUUAUGCACCAUUGGAUGAGCCUGCACUUGAUUAGUUUGUUGGUAGGGUAAGGGCCUACCAAGACUGUGAUCAAUAGCUGAUUUGAGAGGAUGAUCAGCCACAUUGGGACUGAGACACGGCCCAAACUCCUACGGGAGGCAGCAGUGGGGAAUCUUGCACAAUGGAGGAAACUCUGAUGCAGCGAUGCCGCGUGAGUGAAGAAGGCCUUUGGGUUGUAAAGCUCUUUCGUCGGGGAAGAAAAUGACUGUACCCGAAUAAGAAGGUCCGGCUAACUUCGUGCCAGCAGCCGCGGUAAUACGAAGGGACCUAGCGUAGUUCGGAAUUACUGGGCUUAAAGAGUUCGUAGGUGGUUGAAAAAGUUGGUGGUGAAAUCCCAGAGCUUAACUCUGGAACUGCCAUCAAAACUUUUCAGCUAGAGUAUGAUAGAGGAAAGCAGAAUUUCUAGUGUAGAGGUGAAAUUCGUAGAUAUUAGAGAGAAUACCAAUUGCGAAGGCAGCUUUCUGGAUCAUUACUGACACUGAGGAACGAAAGCAUGGGUAGCGAAGAGGAUUAGAUACCCUCGUAGUCCAUGCCGUAAACGAUGUGUGUUAGACGUUGGAAAUUUAUUUUCAGUGUCGCAGCGAAAGCGAUAAACACACCGCCUGGGGAGUACGACCGCAAGGUUAAAACUCAAAU
rnacentral:rRNA from 1 species